AACCCCUCACACGAAAGGCAUCGUACCGCCAAUAUUACAAGCACUCUCAAAGUUUAAUAUUAUUGACCAAUUCGCAAAAAGAAAGGUCGUCCAUGGGAUGCGAAGAAAUGCAUAGCUCUGGACUCCAGAAGUUGGCAUGUCUCGACAAACUGUUCCCUCCGAUCAUACUGCAACAGAGUCCAGAACCGUAGCCAGUGCGUCCCCUGGUGUUUUUAGUCUGCAACAGUUAAACAUAGUAUCAUUUCCUGUAAGUCAAAUUGCCCAACAAAUAGCUACAGACCAGCUAUUAAAAAUAUCACUAGUAGAGAACUCAC
rnacentral:lncRNA from 1 species